GAAGAUGAAUCAACAUGAGCAAGAUCACUUCAGAUUUCAUUGGAGAGAUAACUACUAUCGGGAUUCUGAUGUGGACCCUGAGUCCAAGGAACAACCCAGCAAAACUCGGUAAACCCGAAAGGAAGGGAAAAAACAUUAGAGAACAGAAUACUACUUCUGAGUUCUUUGUCUUCUGACCCCAAUUAAGAACCUUACUGACUUUUGUACACAAUGUAACUUAUCGGGAAUAAGCUCUUUCCCUCUUAUUUUCCUUUUUAUGUUGGCAUUUCACAUGCAAUCCUAGCAAUCAAAAAGGGCUUUGCAAGACCAAGUAAUCUUGAUGGCUUGGUUGGGGCUAACAAUUAUGGGAAUUAGUUGGAAAGUGAUCAAACCAUAAUUUGACCAUCCCGUUCUGAAGUGUGCUGUCCUUGCAGCAACCCAAUAACACAAUGAUGAAUGAGGACUUGAAAGGAAAAUCUUCCAAUAAAACGGGAACCGAAUCAAUCUACAACCCAUGAUAUCAAAGGAUCUUUGAGCAAGAAUUACAACUCCAAGAAGUUCCUCCAAACAUUGAUUCAAGUUAGUGUUUUGCUUCCGGUGGAUUUCUGAAGUAUCUCGGAAGGCCUGAGGAUUCAAGGCGUUCGGCAAUCAAACACUUAGUGCGGUGUCGAAUCCUUGACAAAUCGGUCUUUGGUGAAUCAAUGAGGAUUCACAUAUUUUUUUUAAGGCCGUUUGUAACUGCACGAUCUUUCAUACUUUCCCGUGGUUUUUACCCAUACAGGGGUUUUCCGCGUAUGUCGGUGUGUGCGAUGUUGUUCUUUGUUUCCUAUUAGUAUUUUGCUUGUUGACUGAUUGGAGAGCAAAAUAAGAAUUUCAAAAAACUUACUAGUUAAAGUAGAAAAUGAGGCUUUCGAGGUAUAAUUUAGCUCAAAAUUUGUAGAGAUUAAUGUCAAUGCUCUUAGUAGGAAGGCGAUACGGGAGAUCAAUAGAACACUGGAGUAUAGACGCAACAAAAGAGCCUCCUCAAAAAAAUGUGCUAAUUCAAAAUUCAUAGUUGCAAAAUAUUUUGCUUUAUUCUCAAAGAUUUGACCAUCAAGAGGGCUAAAUUGGGACGCCAGCCAAGUCAGAAUCAGGGUUAAUAUUUUUUUCACCUUUAUGAGUAACUUCACCAAGAAAUUUCUUCCGAGUAAUACAGGAAUUUAUUACUAGUUUAAACUUAGAGAGUGAGAGAGAGAGAGAACGUACCAGAGUAGACACAAGUGACAUAGAUGAGAGAUUCCCUGGGACCAGACAUGGCCUCGAGUGGAGUUGCGUAGCCAGGUCCCCCUUGUUUGCAGCACCCAUUUUUCCCUUUCACCUCCUCCUCUUCGAUCGAUCCAUAUUUCAGCACCACCACCUCUGUAGCCAUAUCUCUCUCUCUCU